GACGAACGCUGGCGGCGUGCUUAACACAUGCAAGUCGAACGGAAAGGCCCUGCUUUUGUGGGGUGCUCGAGUGGCGAACGGGUGAGUAACACGUGAGUAACCUGCCCUUGACUUUGGGAUAACUUCAGGAAACUGGGGCUAAUACCGGAUAGGAGCUCCUGCUGCAUGGUGGGGGUUGGAAAGUUUCGGCGGUUGGGGAUGGACUCGCGGCUUAUCAGCUUGUUGGUGGGGUAGUGGCUUACCAAGGCUUUGACGGGUAGCCGGCCUGAGAGGGUGACCGGCCACAUUGGGAAUGAGAUACGGCCCAGACGCCUACGGGAGGCAGCAGUGGGGAAUAUUGCACAAUGGGCGGAAGCCUGAUGCAGCAACGCCGCGUGCGGGAUGACGGCCUUCGGGUUGUAAACCGCUUUCGCCUGUGACGAAGCGUGAGUGACGGUAAUGGGUAAAGAAGCACCGGCUAACUACGUG
rnacentral:rRNA from 1 species